GGAUUCGUGGUAUAGCGUUACUU
rnacentral:snRNA from 1 species